rnacentral:rRNA from 1 species
CAUUUGCCUUAUAAUUGAAGGCUAGUAUGAAUGGUUUGACAAGAAUGUAGCUGUCUCUUUAUAAUUAAACAGAAUUUUAUUUAUAGGUGAAGAAGCCUAUAUCAAAUUAAAAGACAAGAAGACCCUAUCGAGCUUAAAAUAAAUUAGUAGACUAAGUAAUUAAUGAUAUCAGAAAAUUAACUAUUAGAAAUUUUAGUUGGGGCGACUGGGGAACAAAAAAAGCUUCCUUUAAAAAAUGAAAAACUAAACAAGUAUUGAUCCAAAACAUUUUGAUUAAAGAAAUUAGUUACCGUAGGGAUAACAGCAUUAUCUUUUUUAAGAGCUCUUAUCGAAAAAAAGGUUUGUGACCUCGAUGUUGGACCAGAAUAUCCUAAAGAUGCAACAGUCUUUAAGGGUUGGUCUGUUCGACCAUUAAAAUUCU